AACGAACGCUGGCGGCAUGCCUAACACAUGCAAGUCGAACGGGAUCCAGGCUUCGGCCUGGUGAGAGUGGCGGACGGGUGAGUAACACGUGGGAACCUGCCUUUUGGUUCGGGAUAACCGCGGGAAACUGCGGCUAAUACCGGAUGCUCCCGAGAGGGGAAAGAUUUAUCGCCAGAAGAGGGGCCCGCGUCCGAUUAGGUAGUUGGUGGGGUAAAGGCCUACCAAGCCGACGAUCGGUAGCUGGUCUGAGAGGAUGAUCAGCCACACUGGGACUGAGAUACGGCCCAGACUCCUACGGGAGGCAGCAGUGGGGAAUAUUGGACAAUGGGGGCAACCCUGAUCCAGCAAUGCCGCGUGAGUGAUGAAGGCCUUAGGGUUGUAAAGCUCUUUUGCCAGGGAAGAUGAUGACUGUACCUGGAGAAUAAGCCCCGGCUAACUUCGUGCCAGCAGCCGCGGUAAU
rnacentral:rRNA from 1 species